rnacentral:rRNA from 1 species
UAACGGAGGGUGCAAGCGUUAUCCGGAUUUACUGGGUUUAAAGGGUGCGUAGGUGGAUAAUUAAGUCAGUGGUGAAAUCUUCAGGCUUAACCUGGAAACUGCCAUUGAUACUAUUUAUCUUGAAUACUUUGGAGGUAAGCGGAAUAUGUCAUGUAGCGGUGAAUGCUUAGAUAUGACAUAGAACACAAUUGCGAAGGCAGCUUACUACACAGUAAUUGACACUGAGGCACGAAAGCGUGGG